rnacentral:lncRNA from 1 species
ACCGGAUGACCUCGAGCCUCUGCCGUGUCAUCGGUGGGUCGCGUGGCCUGGCGUGGAGCAGGGCGCCGAGAGCCGGCGCCGGCGACGUCCGGCUGACCUCCCGGACGAACGCCGGCGACCCCGGCGAGCCGCAGGGCCUGAUCGCCUGCGCCGUGCUGUCCACGUGGCUCCCCGUCAGCCCGACGUCUCUCCUGGAUUUCCUGAGGGACGAAUCACGACGGCCCGAGGUAAUCUGCAGCCGCCGUGCACAUUUCCUGUUGCAAAUGCUCUAGAAAGGAUGUGCGUAACCACCACCCAUCAAAUUGUUGCAGUGGGAUGUCACGCUGGCCGGACGAGCCGUGCAACGUCGCGUGAACCUGACCAAGGGGAAGGACCGUUGCAACUGCGUCACCGCCUACGUAAGUUCCAGAGCCGACGAACAGGGCGGCGAGUGGAUCGUGCAGGACAGCUGCACCAACCCGUGCGAGUCGAUCGUCGCGUACGCGCCGGUCGACGCCGCCGUCCUGCAGCCGGUCAUCCGCGGCCACGACUCGAGCGGCGUGGCACUCCUGCCGUGCGGCUUCGCGGUCGUGCCGGACGGGCUGGAGUCCCGGCCCGCGGUGAUCACGUCCAGGAAGGAAGACGGGGCGAUGGCGGGAGCGGGGUCGCUGGUCACCGUGGCGUUCCAGGUGCUGGCCAGCUCGUCGCCGGCGGCCGCGCUCUCGCCGGAGUCGGCGGAGACCGUGACGAGCCUGGCGUCCUGCACGCUGCGUCGCGUUAAAAAGGCCUUGGGGUGCCAAGACCGCUAACGAAUAUUGUACAUGCAUCAUUUGCCUCCGUUUCUUGAAAAAAAUAGUGUACAUGCUGGACAGGAUGUUUACAGGAUAAAAUAGUACUCUCUGGAAGAUACUGUACAGAUAAAGAGAUAAAUGGAUGUUUUGGUUCGCAUAAUUGAGACGUGUAUAAUCAUAUGCGAAGUUCGGUCGUGCUUGAGGAUAGAUCUUGGUUGUUGAUAGAGCAGGCUUGUUCCUAUCCACGGCGGAACGCAAAAAUAUGCAAAGACCGAUCCAAGUGUCUGGAUUGCAUUGUUGAGAAAUAAAAACACGUGAUCAAUUGUAUGGGAGGGAUGCCUCUCAGAAGGUGUCUGUUGGGGAAGAGGUGUCUCCUCAACACAUCCCUUCAUCAUGUAUAUAAGUGGGUCUCCCACAUCGCAAUGGAACUAGUGGAUCACUUGUGUCUCCCAUUUGUCUCCUUUACUUUGAUACUACAAGACGUUAUCAGCACUUAGGGUGUGUUUGGUAGGGUGCAUGAAGGGUGCGUGAGGACAAAAGUUUCCAAUCCGACCCACUUUUGAUUGUUUGGUAGGGUGCAUGGGCUCACCUGAGCUAUGCUCAUCUGAUGCAUAAAAGUGCCCUCAACCAUGCUCAUCUCAUGCACCCCACACAGGGUACAUGGAGGCAGCUAUGUUGGCCCUGACACUCGUCUCCACCGACCAGACCACCUUCAGAUAUGUUUAUUCUUUUCAAAAAGAAUCAGAAUUUCAAAAAUUGUUUAAAUUUUUGAAAACUUUAGAAUUUCAGGAAAAUGGAAAAAUUUUGAAUUUCAAAAUUGCUUAAAUUUUCAAAAAAAAUCAUAAUUUCAAUAUUUUUUGAAUUUUCAAUAAAUAUUUGAAAUUUCAAUUUUUCUAAAAAAAUCAUAAAUGUUCGGAGUUUCAAAAGGAAAUCAAAAUUGGUUUGAAUUUUGAAAAAAAAUAGUAUUUUAAUUUUUUAUAAAAUAUUCAUUUUUUUCUAAAUUUUCAAAAAAAACUCGUAAUUUGAAAUAUGUUUAAAUAAAAAAUAGAAUUUUAAAAUUUAUUUUAAUUUUCCAAAAAAGUUUAGAAUAUCAAAUUUUAUUCAAAUUUUCAAAAUAUGUUUAAAUUUGUGUUGGCAUUUGUUUUAUUUUGUUCAUCAUUAAAUAUUUUUUUUCAGAAUUCGAAGUUGUUCAGCAUGUCUAAACACAUGCAGCUGCCAAACAAAAUCUCAGCUUAGCAUGUUUCAGCGCAUACAUCACUGCCAAACAACAGCAACUGCAUGGACUCAGCAUGUAUGAGAUAAGAACAAUUAGGCUAGGUCUAUACAUGCUACCAAACACACCCUUAGACUCAAUCGAGAGCAAUUAGCGACACGAAAAGAAACUGUUGAGUGGCCGUUCUUUUGAACAUCGGCCAGUAUGCACGGAGGCGCUCGGCCGUGACAGCGCUCCUCCGAGGCGGACGCACGACGCCAGUGCGUGAAGGCGUCGAUAGCAGAACUGCAAGGCGGCGGCAACAGCAUGCGAUGACAGGGUUGAUUGCGCAAGGACAUGCAGCGGCAAUACCAUGGAGCAUGCAUGCAUCCGUACAGAAGAUUAAUCAUGAGAAUGUUAAUUUCUUUGUCUUCUUGUGAUUAAGGGAUACAAGAAUCUGAUCCAUUUGUUUUCAUGCGAGAAUUGCUUGGCUCUUCGCUGAGAGGAAAACUCCAUCUAAGCAGCAGUUACGUACGCUCGCGGCAGCCGGCGGAGUCGUCCUGUUGCAUUCGCAUCCGGCAAGUGAAGGCCUCUGAUGCGGAUCCAUUCAACGCAGAACUGCCUGGUUCCACGCACAUAUUGGGAUUAGUCAAUUGAUUGCUUAAUCAAUCAUCUUUCAAUUAAUUUUUCCCUAUACAUCUACGCACUCACGAGAUUUACUUCCAUCUGAGCACGUACAGAAAGAGAAAACAAGAAGAAGAAUCUCAGACAUUGGAAUCCAUCGAUCCCAGGAAGAACGAGAAAAGAGUCAUGGCGGUGACGCGCCUGACGGCCACAAGGAAUCGACGAAGGUGGCUACGUGUGCAGAACAAGCAGCGCGACAUGGGGUGUUGUCGGGCCCGCGCGACGGUAUGAAUUACGGCGGCGGGAGGCAUCAUCAGCAAAAUGCCUCACGGCCGGCGACCACGAAUCUGUCCAAGUGCGGGGGCGUCCAUGGCCUUAGGGCGUAAUUGCGGCUGAGGCGGUGCCAAUUGCGCAUGAAGCCCUCGGUUUUGGCCGACGAUGCUCCCUCCGGCGUGGCCUCGACCGCGUGGCGCUCGAUUCGCCCGUACGGUAAAGCGCUCCGGCGCGGCUGAAAAUUUCCCAAAGGCAACGGUGGCUAUUCCUCUCAGGGAAUUGGUAAACGCACAACAGAAGAAGAGAAAAGAUAUCAUCUCUUCAGUGAUUUUGCAAAUCAGCCUUUUUGAUUGUAUGGAAAUCACGGAUAAAUCCUGACACUUUAGUUCGGAUUAUCCAACUUGCUGCUAAACUCUUAGGCUUAUUGAAAAUUACCCCGAGGCUUUACUAUUUUCAGCACUCUAACCACAUGGUUAUUGAUAUUUGCGUUUUAUGCCCCAGGCUUCAGAGCAAAUAUACAUGAUAGACCACAGGGUCUUGCUGAAUUGCAUAAUAAUUAAUUAUGCAUCAUUUUACAUCAUGUAAAAUGAUCGUUUGAGGCCCCCAAGUCCUCAUAUAUGUUACACAAGUAUGUUUAUACUUCUGCAUUUAUUCGUAUUACAUGAGUAAUACUGUUGCAAAGCAAUAUAUUGAUUCCAUUAUUGGCAAGAAUAUGGAACUUGCUUGCAAAUUCGGAAAACGUAAGGUAGAGAAAUGUAUGAAAUUGCCUGACUAUGUCAAAUUUACAUUUGUCAUAAGGAAUCGACAAAUGGCAUCUACUGCUUAAUUGCAUAUUAUCCAAUGUUAUUGUGAGGUCUAUAUUAUGUCAGUCUGACAUAAUGAUUACCUUCAAUUUUGCACACAACUUAUGGAUUGCAUGAUGGCAACGAAUCAUUUUCGUUCACAACUGCGAGGUCUACACUACCAUGUGGUGAUUACCUUCAAUGUGUUUUUUUAAUUAACACAAGGUUGUGAGAAGCUCCAUAAGAGUGAGAUCUACAGUACUUAGUGAUUAUCUCCAUGUGUUCGAAGCAAAAGUGAUGGCACAAAACUUAUGACAUAGCCAUUAUGAGGCCUACACUGUUGAUGCCUACCUUCAUGAUGUUUUUCCAGAUACUUGUCAAUUUCAUAGCAUUUGUCAUUGGUUGUGACUAUAGUGUCAAAUACUCCAUCACAAAAUGAAUCCAAGGAAAUGGUGACUAUGCUGUAUAUUAUGCUAUGAAGAGAAUUAUGCAAAACACUUGCAUAUUUUGGUGAUUACCUUCCAUGCAUACACAACUUAUGGGACGUCAUCAUAGUUAUGAAUUAAGUUUCAUGCAUAGCUGAGAGGUUCAUGCCAUUUUAUGGUGAUUACCUUCAUGUGUUAUAAAUAACAUAAGGUUGUGGAGGCUAUGAUCAAUGGGAACUGUCCAUAAGAGUGAGGCACCACUAGGUGGUCGACUACCUCUAUGUGUUUUAAGGAAAUUAAAGGUUUGUCCCUUUUGAGGUGACUACCUUUACUUGAAAGAUCCACACCACACUGUGGUGUUCUUCUGGAAGGCUUGCCCUAUGGGUCACUAAGAAUCACCAUCACCAUGAUUAUGCCUAGCCAUAGCAUUUUUAUCUUAAUGAAUUUACUAAAGGUAAAUUAAUGCAUGAGCAUUUCAUGCAGCAUAUGGCCGACCUUUUUGGAAAGGAAUUGUGAUGAGAUGACAUUAGGUGAGAGUAAUUAUUUAAAGAUUGGUCAUGGACAUUAAAGAAUAUGCAUGGCUAUCUAUAAAUAGCUAAGAAUAUGCAUAUUUGCAUAUAUAUGUGUCAUCGCAAUGACUUGGUUCUCAAACUGAGUAUGUAAUGGAUGAUGAACAUCCACUUUUCCCUUUGAGCCUUCAUUGAGGCAAGAUAUAUUGUUAUAAGCAUCACAUGGAUGAUUAUUCAUUCGUUGUUAGGACUUCGAGUCCGUUGAGCCUUAUAGUUUUGUUGUCUAUAAAUCAACACUAUGUUGAGAUUAUGUGAUAAGGCGGCUCCAGAUGCAUAUCUAAAUAUAAGUCCUUAUUGCACUUUACGUUCUCCUAGGAUGGUAAACAGAAAUAUCAUCUUUGUUUCAGAUUUGCAAUGCCUCAAAUUCAUGCUAGUGCUCUUAGUACUAAGCAAUAGUGGUCAGAGGACCACGGGAGUUGAAUGUAAAGUGAAGGAAAAAUGACAAGCAAAAAUGGAGUGUAUAUCUCAAAAGGGAAUGUGUCAUUUAAUCUAAAUGAUCAUAAUGACAACUUUCAAGUUUGUUGAAGUGGUGAUUGUACGAAAUGUCGUACCAAUGAUUCCCAAUUGGUAAAGUAUUGUGUUGAAUCAUAUCACCGACUCACUGGAGGAAAAUGAUUUUAAAGGGAUAAGUUUGAAGUUCUACUUCAAAAGGAAACAACCAGAAAAUAUUCUGGCAUGGUAGAAGGAGAAUGAACUCCUCUAUAUUGACGAUAUGCAUAUGGAAUGAUAUUCCAAAGAUAUUUUGGAUGUCUCAUGUAGUCUCCUAGUUAUCCCUAAAUAUCAUUAGCCUAUAAUUGUACUACUACAUGUAGUAUAAAUUGCAACAUCAUCUUCCUCGGACAUGAUAGUUGAGGAAAUUGAGUGUAUGAGUCAGUUCAUACUCAAUCUUGUUGCAUACACAAUAAAUUUUCCUCCUUUAUCAUCAUGGUAUUGGACGAUUAGAGAAAUUUUUGACAAUUAUGUUGGCCACAACUUGACAAGUCACAAUAUUCCCAACAAUCAUCACAUUGUUUUGUGCACUACAUGUGACAUUGGGGAAUUAAUUUUAAGCCACUCUCACCUUAAAAUUUGAAAUGAGCCAGCCAAUAUUCUGGAUUGCAUUCAAGAAUAUGUUUGGAUUAUUCAACCAUUAUCUGGGUUAUGUUGGUACUCCAUGGUGUUAAUAGACGCAUCUAGAGGAUGGUCUUAGAUGUGUAUCAUCUAUACAAAACCAUGUGUCUACUAAAUUAACUGCUCAAAUUGACGAAUUUAGAGCAAAUUAUCCUAACGUGGGCUAAUUCCAUUGGAAUGCAAAUAUCGUUGAAGUUGAUUCACGAGCAUUCAAUGGUUAUAUUCAGAAGUAUAUAGUACAUAACCUAAAUGGUUUGGCUUGAUCUCUUAUGAAAGAGAUUCAAUAUUGCUUGGCCAAUGUUCCAGAAUUAUGAUUUACCAACACUUUGUUGAUGGUGGCAUGCGGUCUCACACUCCGCGUAUUUGGUCUAAAUAAGAUCAAAUUAUACUUUACCCCCUUGCAGUUUGUACGUGGAAAUAAGUGAAGUAUUUUCCAUCUCGGUAAUUCGGUUGUAUACUGAUAUCACCACCCCAACAUACAUCAUGGGCCUUCACAUAUGGUUGGGAUCUAUGUGAGGAAUAACUGUGGUAUGUUCAUUAAUCCGCCGAAUACCUUAACCCUAGCAAGGGAGUUAUUUGCAGCCCAUACGCUGAUUGCUUUUGCAAUAAGAACAUUUUCUGGCAUUAGGGGGAGAUGUGUACCACAAAGAAUGCCAGGAAAUGGAUAAGAAAUGUCAUAGACAUUUUGUCCACAUACUUAAGAAUUUGAACUUCGGGUUCAGAUUAUGAGAAAUUUGCAACAUAUUGCAAAUAAUCUGCCAAGUAUAUUUACUGAUGACAAAGGUGUCACUAUGGUCAAGUACCAGUACGAGUGGAGGUACCAAAUAAACCACUCGUCCCCCUAGAUGAGAGCAAGAGGGGGAGAAUUUUGGUCGCAUGAGAUUGAAUUCUCAUAUGUUUCAGCGGAAACAGAGAAGAUUGACCCCUCGAUUAGUAAAUAUGAUUCAACCUCGGGUUGAAUGACACCUGAGGGAUGCGUGGCAUCCAAAGUCCAACACAUAUGUGCACACAUUCCUAGGUGUUGGGAUAUCAAAACACCUUGACUCCGUUGUUGUGGGAAAUCACAAGGAGUUAAGAUGUGUAAUAAGAAUUCCACAAUGAUAUUGAUUCAUGAGAAUCAUGUAUGAGAAAGUCUACAUAUGUCGACAUAAAAUUCUUCUCAAGAAUUGCUAUAAUCCUUUUGGGCCCUGAACCAAAUCCAUGGAGAGUGUUGUUGCACUUAUAUUGGUUCAAAUGAAAGGAAGCAAUUAAGGAAGAUUGACACUCGCUCAUCAAAAGAGAGGUAUUUACCAUUGUAAAACCUGCUCCUCAUAAGUAUCUUCCAGAGGGAAGGAAAGUGAAUUUUUGUUUGGAAACAAAAAUAAAUGAGGUGGUGAGAAAGCGAGGCUUGUAGCACAAGGGGUUUUCGCAGAGACCCGACAUCGGUUAUGAUGUAGCAUACCUUCUUGGUAUGAGUGGAAUUAUGUUUCGGUACUGAAUGUUAAUGGCAGUAUAGAUCCGUACGGUUGAUGUAUGUAAUGUCUACAUACUCCCAUGGGUCAAUUAGUUUGGAUGUAUAUAUUGAAGUCAUUGAAUGACUUAAUAUUCUGAAUCCAAAGGUAAAUCACAACAUGCAUGUGUGAAACUUCUGAAGUCAUUCUGUGACUUGAAGUGGUCGGAGAAUUGUGUGGUGCAACCGACUAAGUGAGUUAUUUCUUGACAAGGAUUACUCUCAUACUAAUGAUUGUUGACAUGUAUUCAUGAAGAAAUCCUGGGUUGGAUUUUACAUCACCUUAAUUUGUGGUGUCGAUGAUCUUAUCAUCAAAGUGUAUAUAAGACAUGAAAUACACACAAUCAUGUUAAGACGGAUAUUUGGGUUAAACCAAAUUAUGCUAAGCUUAUGACUUGAACAUAUCCCCCUAAGAUAUCAGUCUUCAUAUAUCCGAAAGUAUUGGAGAAGUUCAAUAUGGAUAUAUUAUAGCAAAGACACAUAUGGUCAUGUUAUACCUAAUAUGGGAUAUAGAUCCUUGAGACAUAGGGGAGAUGGUGAAGUGAUAGAUGAGCAUGAAUUGCCAUAUCUAAAUACCAUCGAAGCAGUCAUAUAUCUUGCAAAAUAUGUGAGGCCCGACACUAUAGUUUUUGGCAAUUUAUUGAGAGUGCAAUUCUCUGAAAGGUAUAAGGUUUGUGUAAGGAAUAUCCUGGGAUAUAUCCAGGGCACGAAGGGUCUUGAUCAAUUUCAUUCGAAAAAUCAAGAUGGGACCAUGGUUUAAUAUAUUGAUAGUGGCUAAUUAUCUGAUCCCACAAUGCCAUAUCAAAGACUGGGUUUGCUGGAAGAGUACUUUGAAGGAAGUAUUCAGAAUAGACUCUAAACGAGUCCUUCCAGUGAUCAUUCUAUUUCAUUUGAAGCAUCCAAAAAUGUGGAUGACUUCAUAGAAUGAUUGGCCACAUGUGAAAUCAUGUGGAGAUUAUCAUUAUCUACCAAGAUAAUGUCACUUUGUAUUGCUUAUGGGUUAUAUUUAUCCUUGUGAAUUACAGAAACAUAAUAGGAUAAUAUGCAAACAGAUUAUUGUGAUAUUCACAGUAUCUCUAUCCAUGUUUACAUUUCAGAACUAGGUUCGUGGAAUUGGUAUGAGAUAUUCUUGAGGUUUGCAAAGUUUAGGGGGAGUAAAAUCUCAAGUUAUAACCCGUUGGUGAUCCUCAAAUCACUCAUAUUGUACUCCUUUUCCCUUUAUGAGUUUUCCAUGAUGGUUUCUCAUAUAAGGUUUUUAACGAGACAAUAUAAAUACAAGUGCGGAUAUAUGCCAUAUUGGUUUCUCUUUAUAUUUUUUCCACUGGGUUUUAAAGGAGUUUUUGAUGGCAUAUUAUUAUAAGGUUUCUCCUCAAUUUUUCCCACAAGGUUUUUGGAGGAGUUUUCAGUUUGCAAUAUACAUGUGACGAAUUGAUCAAGGGGGAGUGUUGAGAAAUAAAAACAUGUGAUCAAUUGUAUGGAAGGGAUGCCUCCCAAAAGCACACCCCUUCACCAUGUAUAUAAGUGGGUCUCCCACAUUGCAAUGGAACCAGUAGAUCAUUUGUGUCUCUCAUUUGUCUCCUUUACUUUGAUACUACAAGAUGCAUGACGUCUCACUCACCCCAGGAAAAGAGCGACCUCCCAUUGCCAUCGCUGCAUUUAUAUGUUUCACACACUAGUAGUACGUGACAUCAUAAUUUGUUGCAAGUUGGGCCAGUUUUUUAUUUGUUGAACUUUGCAGGUUGGGUUAGAAUAAUCUUGCCGCAUAAAGAAGGAUUAAUUUGCGAACAACUUGGGGUUAGAUGGUUAAAGGGACAGUGUUACACAACCCAUCACAUCAGGGUUUAAAUCUUGAUGCUUGCAUUAUUUCUAGAUUUAUUUCAAAUUUUCUGGCGUUGUGCUUUCAAUGAGGGGAGACGUUUUCGUUGAUGAUGAGACGUCUAUAAUAACUUCGUAAAUCUCAAGAUGAUAGCCGGCUUAGCAUGUUGAAGAUGCUAAUAUGGAUAGAAUGUACGUGUAUACACUUAUAAAGAUGAGUGAAUGCAUGUAUAUAUGAGUACUUGUGUCUGUAUUGUGUUAAAAAAAGAUUGAUCUCCGUCCAACUAAUUCUGCAUGAAUUUUGGCGUGUUCUAACAGUUUUUGUGUAUCACGUAGGACUAAACUGGUGCGUGGACAUUCAUCCGGUCACCCACACGUUCUUUUUAUCACACGGGGGGCUGUGUGCGGGCGUUUAACAAUUCGCCCACACACGAGUUUUCACGCACGCAGAGGGGGUGGUGUGUGUGCGUUUAUCACUUCGCCCACACGCCCGUCUCCUCGCUCACACCCAAAGCUAAUAGUUGCCAUGUGUUUCUGCAGGGUACAUGGCAACUGCCAUAUCUUUCCUUGUAAGCAAAUGUCAACUCUUUUUUACCCGAGUUGCCAUGUGUUUUUGCAUGGUACAUGACAACUGUCCUAGCGUGCACAUAAACAGAUGACAACUCUUUCUCUUUACAUGGCAGCUGCCCUAGCAUGCCUGUGAAUACAUGGCAACUCUCUCUUUUACUCAAACAUGUUUUUUUGCCAUGCCUUUUUGUAGUGCUACACGGCAACUGCCUAGUGUUAGUGGGUGACAACUCCUAAAAUUUUGAAAUCAUGACAACUGCAGUAGACCAGACCAUACAUGGCAACUGCAGUUGCGCAACCAUGGCAACCGAAGUUCAGCGACAUGGCAACUACAGUUAAACGAACAUGAACGAGGGUCUGGACCAUGACAACUGUGGGACGCGCGGUGACUGUCACGCGGGGCGUGCGGGACCACGAGGUGCGAGGCUUAACGUACGGGGCGUGUGGCAUUAUCUAUUUCGCCCACACGCACGCGUGUGAGAGGGAUCGAGAAAAAAAGAGGUGUGUGGGCAUUACUUGUUUUUUUGAGCAUUGGGCAUUACUUGUUUUGUCCACACGUAAAUGUAUGGGCUGUUCCUCUUAUACAUCCUUUUAUACACCAUACAAAAUGUGUGAGCAGACUUCCUAACGCCCACAUCUUAUUACACUUAUCGGCGUCUUUUUCCUAAGAAAAAUAGAAUACGACCCACACCAGGCGACGCCGGGGCAAGCCACACCCCGACGGCACCGAUCACCGCGAGAACUUUGGCGUGUACGCAUUCGCGUGACACGACGCCAGCGGAAACAGCCAUCCGCCGCGGCGCCACCCCGCCCGCCCACCCGCCCGCCGUUUAUAGCGAACCCAGCGGCCGCACGCGGGUGCGCUCGGCACCCCACGUCCGCGCCCCUCGAUUCCACAGCAAGCACCCAACACGCCGCACGCGGCACGCGCCCGAGACGCUCGUACGGGCCGGCGCACCCUAGCCGGGCCGCGAUGCCCACGGCUAACGUGCGCGCGGCGCAGCCUGGCGCCNNNNNNNNNNNNNNNNNNNNNNNNNNNNNNNNNNNNNNNNNNNNNNNNNNNNNNNNNNNNNNNNNNNNNNNNNNNNNNNNNNNNNNNNNNNNNNNNNNNNNNNNNNNNNNNNNNNNNNNNNNNNNNNNNNNNNNNNNNNNNNNNNNNNNNNNNNNNNNNNNNNNNNNNNNNNNNNNNNNNNNNNNNNNNNNNNNNNNNNNNNNNNNNNNNNNNNNNNNNNNNNNNNNNNNNNNNNNNNNNNNNNNNNNNNNNNNNNNNNNNNNNNNNUUCCCCUCCCCCGCCGGCUGGUCCGGCGCGAUCGCGCGGUUUUCUUUGUCCCGUCGGCCUGAUUGGUGCUUGCUUGGGUGUUCACGCAGGUGACGGUCGCGUACAACAAGGAUCCCAGCCCCGUCAAGGUGAACCUCGGAGUCGGCGCCUACCGGACCGAGGUGAGAGGUGUUUUUUUGGGGAAUUUCAUUGAAUUGCUGCGCUUCCCUGUUGGAUCAGAGCUGGAUUUGACCAUGGCUGGUGUUUUGGUCCGAGUCAGGAAGGGAAGCCCCUCGUGCUGAAUGUGGUCAGGCGCGCCGAGCAGAUGCUGAUCCAAAACGAGUAAGUCUGGCUCCAAAUCGGGAUGAUCCGCAUGAUUUUCGUGCCCCUUUUAAGUGACUGAAGUUUCAUUCCGUGAGCUUGUAUCCCGAACUGAAUAAAAUCGGGAUUCAACUAGUCAUAGUAGAUCUGAUCUCUGGAUAAAAUACUCGUCCUAGCGUGGGAGUGUUGUUGUUGGUAUCCUUUUGUUAGUAGAUCGUGUGGCCAUCGUACUGUAUUCUCCAAUAUAAUUGUUGCCUAGGUAUUUUAUCGACCUUUACCGACCCACUUGUGAUUAUAAUACAUUUUCAGGCUAUUUUACUGGUUUCCCCAUGUUGUACGGUCGUGUAGGAUUAGCGGACGUAGUUGUACUCGCAGUUCCGGGCACGGCAUUGCUAUUCGAAUUUCCUUUGUCGCUAGUUACAGUAUAUAUUUCUCAGUAGAUGAUUCAGUUUUACAAGCACUGCAGCGUGUUCCAUUCCGUGUAUAGUAUAAACUGUUGACUCAUGGGGAGUUUCUUGUAUGAGUUUACAUAAAAUUUACUGCUGUCAGAACUGAGAACAAUUGUGUAUGGUAUCUAAAUGCUUGCAGUGGAAACUUAUGAUGGCAUAUUUGACCUCUAAUUCCUUACUUUGCUUAGGUCACGUGUUAAGGAGUACUUGCCGAUCACUGGAUUGGCCGAUUUCAACAAGUUGAGUGCCAAGCUUAUCUUUGGUGCUGACAGGUGUGUUUGUUAAACUACUACCUUUAACUGAUGAUAAUUUUGAGUCAAACCUUCAUACCAAAGAGUAAAAUUGUCUAAUUAAAGUACCUCCCAUUUCCUGGAUUAGUCCUGCUAUUCAGGAGAAUAGGGUGGCUACAGUGCAGUGCUUAUCAGGAACUGGUUCCUUAAGAGUGGGAGGUGAAUUUCUUGCAAGGCACUAUCAUGAAGUAAGGAGCUUUUCUUGUCUCCUUUAUUGGUUGCUAGACGUAAUUGCAUUGUUUAAUUUCUAAAUCAUGAACAUUUUCUCCAGCGCACUAUCUACAUCCCCCAGCCAACCUGGGGGAAUCACCCAAAAGUGUUCACUUUAGCUGGCCUGACUGCUAGGAGUUACCGGUACUAUGAUCCUGCAACUCGUGGACUGGAUUUCCAAGGUGCCUACUUCAAUUUUUCAUAUACACUACUAUGUGCUCAAUUUGCAAUUUCAGAGGACGACGUUUGCACACUUCUACUGGAUCGUUUUAGGCAGUCUUACUUAAUCAAGGAUAUGUUUAUGUGCUGCAGGACUCUUAGAAGACAUCAGUUCAGCUCCCUCAGGCGCAAUUGUACUGCUUCAUGCAUGUGCCCACAACCCUACUGGUGUCGACCCAACCUUGGAACAGUGGGAACAGAUCAGGCAGCUGAUGAGAUCAAAAGCAUUGCUGCCAUUCUUUGACAGUGCUUAUCAAGUAAGUAAUUGACAUGCCUAAUACUGAUGCUUCUUAGGGAAUAUGCCACAUGACUAUAUAGCCACAUAAUUUGUUGAUUCUUUGUUCACAUGGCAUAUUUUCUUCCAAAUAGCUUACAAAUAAAGUAAUGUGCUUGAAAUGACCUGUGAAGGGAUUUGCAAGUGGAAGCCUUGACAAAGAUGCCCAAUCAGUGCGCAUGUUCGUCGCUGAUGGUGGUGAAUUGCUCAUGGCUCAAAGCUAUGCCAAGAACAUGGGAUUGUAUGGAGAGCGUGUUGGUGCUUUAAGCAUCGUAAGUUAUCUUAUCCUAAUACUUUGUUAUUCACCUUUGUGGCCUUACCCUUAGUUUUUGGACUUGAAUUCGAGCUUGUAGGCAUCUUCUUGCUGUGUUGAUGGUAAUAAUUAACUUCCAGAAUUGCUUCCGCAGCUUUGUGGUCCAAUAUGCUAAAAUGCAUAUGGUUAUAGUUACAUACAGGUGUUUGCUAUACAGCUAUAGUUGCAGUUGUAUAUCUUAUACAACUGUAAUAAUUCUUAUCUACUUAUACCUCAGUAUGACAUGGAAACUUCUUUUAACCUUCUUUUAAUGAGAUAGUAGAUGUACUUGGUGAACUUGUGUCAUACAUAAGAGGCUGUAUUUCAUCUCAUAUUUUUCAUUUUAUUGAGUUGUUUGAGGAGCUGAAAGAAAAAAUCCAACUUAAUGUUGCAGGUUUGUGGGAGUGCUGAUAUAGCUGUUAAGGUUGAAAGUCAACUUAAGCUUGUAAUUAGGCCUAUGUAUUCGAACCCUCCUCUUCAUGGUGCUUCUAUCGUGGCUACCAUACUUAAGGACAGGUAGUAUUCUAUUCAAUCAUAGAAUGAGUUGUGUUGAAAUGAAUUUUUAUUGGCAGAUCGACAAAUCUAAUAAUUGGUAGUGCUUAGUUCUUAUUGACUAUUUUUUCUCAAUUUUUAGUGCGAUGUUCGACGAAUGGACUCUGGAGCUGAAGGCCAUGGCUGAUAGGAUAAUUAGCAUGAGGGAGCAGCUUUUUAAUGCGCUGAAAAUCAGAGGUACUCUACUAGUUUCUGUCAAAGUCCACUGUUUCCUCUUUGCUGUUAAUAACAUAAUUUAUGUCUGAAUAAUGGCUUUUUCAGUCUCAUAAUUUGUCCCAGGAUCUUCUAUCAGAACCUAGUGUCAUUUUAUUUUCAGCAAUUGAUACAAUUUCUCUGAACUAAUUGUUCUUUGGAUAUUAGUAUUACGUUAUUCUAAACAGAAAUUUCUUGGGUUAUUAGCAAAAUCUGAUAAAUAUCCGACCUCCUAUAUUUGUAUACGGUUUAUCUGAUAAAUAUCCGACCUCCUAUAUUUGUAUACGGUUUAUUACCAAGUUCCUGUUAAGUUCCCUGAAAUCUGAAGUUCAUGUAGUGCACUAACUGUUCUGGUUCAGGUCCAUCGGUCUCCAAGUUAUGGAUGUUCAAUCUUUUGGUCCAUUUCUUACUAAUUCCUCUAUGCCAAAGUGUUGACCAUUUGUCAUAUCAUGCAGAAACACCUGGAGAUUGGUCCCACAUCAUUAAGCAGAUUGGGAUGUUUACUUUCACUGGGCUCAACAGUGAUCAAGUAGCCUUUAUGAGGCAGGAAUAUCACAUUUACAUGACAUCUGAUGGGUAAUGCCUUGUGAAUUCUCACCCAUUUACAUAUCUCGUCACAAAUGCAUUAGUAGUGUAACUUUGAGGUCUUCUUUUGCAGUCGUACUGUUCAUUUACAUUUAGUAGACUCGACACUGCUUUCUUUGGUGGUUUUCAUUCUCAAGAGUCCCCUGUAGCUAGUUCAUAUUGACAGGUCAUAUAUUUUGUCUUGCAGGAGGAUCAGCAUGGCUGGUUUGAGCUCCAGGACUGUACCCCAUCUUGCAGAUGCCAUACAUGCUGCAGUUACAAAACUGAAGUGAAUGAUAACAUUGCAACCCCCUUCCGCAAUAAAAUCUUAAAUUGCCUACAGCAGUGUCCGAAGGGUUCAACCAGAGGUGUGUUACUGGCUGAACUCAAGAAUUUGCCUUGUAGACUCAUUAAAUUUGUUGUCGGAGACAGUUUUGUACACACCGGAUUAAAGAUUAUGGUGAUUUCGAAUCCUGAAUAAGCUGCAGUUGUGAUGCUUUCUUACCCUUGAAUGCUGAGGUAUUUAUCCUGCAGCGCUCUAUAAUGCCUAGUUUUGGGAAGCUAAUGUUUGUGAGCUGUAUGCGCGUUUUCGGUUGUUGCAUAUGGUGCUUUUAGUUGUUUCUGAGCUCAGGCUGGAAGAUCUU